GAUGAAGAACGUAGCGAAAUGCGAUAAGUAAUGUGAAUUGCAGAAUUCAGUGAAUCAUCGAAUCUUUGAACGCACAUUGCGCCCGCUAGUACUCUAGCGGGCAUGCCUGUUCGAGCGUCAUUUCAACCAUCAAGCCCCCGGCUUGUGUUGGGGACCUGCGGCUGCCGCAGGCCCUGAAAACCAGUGGCGGGCUCGCUAGUCACUCCGAGCGUAGUAGUUACAUCUCGCUCAGGGCGUGCUGCGGGUUCCGGCCGUUAAAAGCCUUAUUUACCCAAGGUUGACCUCGGAUCAGGUAGGAAGACCCGCUGAACUUAAGCAUAUCAAUAAGCGGAGGA
rnacentral:misc_RNA from 1 species